GUGAAAACUACCUGGUUGAUUAUUCUAUUAGUGUUGAAGGAUUAAAUGUUAUAUAUAGACAUAUUUCUCGAAGGUACAGAUUACAGGUGAGUUACGAUUUAUGGUCAACAUCAAAACCCAGAAGAAAAAAACCAUCGAAGGGCCAUUGUCUAAAAAACCCAAAUUUUGACAAAAUUUAAC